rnacentral:rRNA from 1 species
UACGAAGGGGGCAAGCGUUGUUCGGAUUUACUGGGCGUAAAGCGCGCGUAGGCGGCUAGCCAAGUCGGAUGUGAAAUCUCGGGGCUCAACCUCGAAACUGCAUUCGAUACUGGCUGGCUAGAGUUCGGGAGGGGGAAGCGGAAUUCCGUGUGUAGCAGUGAAAUGCGUAGAUAUACGGAGGAACACCAGAGGCGAAGGCGGCUUCCUGGACCGAUACUGACGCUGAGGUGCGAAAGCGUGGGGAGCAAACAGG